rnacentral:tRNA from 1 species
GCCUGGGUGGCUCAGUCAGUUAAGCGUCCGACUUCGGCUCGGGUCACGAUCUCAUGGUUCGUGGGUUUGAGUCCCAUGUCGGGCU